rnacentral:rRNA from 1 species
GACGAACGCUGGCGGCGUGCCUAAUACAUGCAAGUAGAACGCACAGUUUAUACCGUAGCUUGCUACACCAUAGACUGUGAGUUGCGAACGGGUGAGUAACGCGUAGGUAACCUGCCUGGUAGCGGGGGAUAACUAUUGGAAACGAUAGCUAAUACCGCAUAAUAUUAAUUAUUGCAUGAUAAUUAAUUGAAAGGUGCAAUUGCACCACUACCAGAUGGACCUGCGUUGUAUUAGCUAGUAGGUGAGGUAACGGCUCACCUAGGCGACGAUACAUCGCCGACCUGGGAGGGUGAUCGGCCACACUGGGACUGAGACACGGCCCAGACUCCUACGGGAGGCAGCAGUAGGGAAUCUUCGGCAAUGGACGAAAGUCUGACCGAGCAACGCCGCGUGAGUGAAGAAGGUUUUCGGAUCGUAAAGCUCUGUUGUAAGAGAAGAACGGGUGUGAGAGUGGAAAGUUCACACUGUGACGGUAUCUUACCAGAAAGGGACGGCUAACUACGUG